rnacentral:rRNA from 1 species
UCUAUCCAUGGGUGGGGGAUAACUCUGGGAAACUGGAGCUAAUACCGCAUGAUACCUGAGGGUCAAAGGCGCAAGUCGCCUGUGGAGGAGCCUGCGUUUGAUUAGCUUGUUGGUGGGGUAAUGGCCUACCAAGGCGAUGAUCAAUAGCUGGUCUGAGAGGAUGAUCAGCCACACUGGGACUGAGACACGGCCCAGACUCCUACGGGAGGCAGCAGUGGGGAAUAUUGGACAAUGGGGGCAACCCUGAUCCAGCAAUGCCGCGUGUGUGAAGAAGGUUUUCGGAUUGUAAAGCACUUUCGACGGGGACGAUGAUGACGGUACCCGUAGAAGAAGCCCCGGCUAACUUCGUGCCAGCAGCCGCGGUAAUACGAAGGGGGCUAGCGUUGCUCGGAAUGACUGGGCGUAAAGGGCGUGUAGGCGGUUUGUACAGUCAGAUGUGAAAUCCCCGGGCUUAACCUGGGAGCUGCAUUUGAUACGUGCAGACUAGAGUGUGAGAGAGGGUUGUGGAAUUCCCAGUGUAGAGGUGAAAUUCGUAGAUAUUGGGAAGAACACCGGUGGCGAAGGCGGCAACCUGGCUCAUAACUGACGCUGAGGCGCGA